GUUAUUUUGGCAGAUUUAAAUGCACCAGGUUUAGGGCCUGAUAAUAUAGAGGUUGUUUCUAUAAAUAAUA
rnacentral:tRNA from 1 species